rnacentral:rRNA from 1 species
UACGAAGGGUGCAAGCGUUACUCGGAAUUACUGGGCGUAAAGCGUGCGUAGGUGGUGGUUAAGUCUGCUGUGAAAGCCCUGGGCUCAACCUGGGAAUUGCAGUGGAUACUGGAUCACUAGAGUGUGGUAGAGGGAUGCGGAAUUUCUGGUGUAGCAGUGAAAUGCGUAGAGAUCAGAAGGAACAUCCGUGGCGAAGGCGGCAUCCUGGGCCAACACUGACACUGAGGCACGAAAGCGUGGGGAGCAAACAGG